rnacentral:rRNA from 1 species
UACAGAGGUGGCAAGCGUUGUUCGGAAUUACUGGGCGUAAAGGGCGCGUAGGCGGCCUUCUAAGUCAGACGUGAAAUCCCCCGGCUUAACCUGGGAACUGCGUCUGAUACUGGAAGGCUUGAGUGCGGGAGAGGGAUGCGGAAUUCCAGGUGUAGCGGUGAAAUGCGUAGAUAUCAGGAGGAACACCGGUGGCGAAGGCGGUUCUCUGGACCAGUUCUGACACUGAUGAGCGAAAGCCAGGGGAGCAAACAGG